UUAGUGCUCACACCAGUCCGCCACCCCCAGGACAUGUUCCUCAUGAUCUGGAGCCACAAGACCACCAUCUUCAUGGACGCCAAGCAGUCCAGCACAGUGUUCGAGCUGAAGCGCAUUGUCAAGGGCAUCCUCAACCUGCCUCCUGAUGAGCAGCGGCUGUACAAGGAUGACCAUCUUGGAUGAUGGCAAAACACUGAGUGGGUAUGGCUUCACCAGUCAAACAGCACGGCCACAGGCCCCAGCCACAGUGGGGCUGGCCUUCCGGGCAGAUGACAUCUUUGAGACCCUGUGCAUUGAGCCGUUCUCCAACCCCUCCAAGCUGCCUGAUGUGAUGAAGCCCCAGGACUCGGGAAGCAGUGCCAAUGAACAAGCCAUGCAGUGAGGACCCCCAAGAGGUCCAUUGCCCCCAAUAAAAGAGAUUUGGGAAAAGAAAAA